UGAGUACGAGCUGCUACGGCAGCGAAGUGGGUGAUGUCAUGCUUCCAAGAAAAGCCCUAUACCCGUUAAGGCAUGAUGGCCUGUACCCGAAACCGACACAGGUGGGGUGGUAGAGAAUACCGAGGGGCGCGAGGUAACUCUCUCUAAGGAACUCGGCAAAAUGGCCCCGUAACUUCGGGAGAAGGGGUGCCACCGCAAGGUGGUCGCAGUGAAGAGGCCCAGGCGACUGUUUACCAAAAACACAGGUCUCCGCUAAGUCGCAAGACGAUGUAUGGGGGCUGACGCCUGCCCAGUGCCGGAAGGUUAAGGAAGCUGGUCAGCGUAAGCGAAGCUAGCGACUGAAGCCCCGGUGAACGGCGGCCGUAACAAUAACGGUCCUAAGGUAGCGAAAUUCCUUGUCGGGUAAGUUCCGACCCGCACGAAAGGCGUAACGAUCUGGGCGCUGUCUCGGAGAGAGGCUCGGCGAAAUAGAAUUGUCUGUGAAGAUGCGGACUACGUGCACCCGGACAGAAAGACCCUAUGAAGCUUUACUGUAGCUUGGUAUUGUGCUCGGGCUCGGAAUGCGCAGGAUAGGUGGGAGGCUAUGAACCAUUGCUUGUGGGUGAUGGUGAGCCACUGGUGAGAUACCACUCUUUCCGAGCUAGAGUUCUAACAGCCACCCGUUAUCCGGGGGCUGGACAGUAUCAGGUGGGCAGUUUGACUGGGGCGGUCGCCUCCUAAAAGGUAACGGAGGCGCGCAAAGGUUUGCUCAGGCUGGUUGGAAAUCAGCCGACGAGUGUAAAAGCAGAAGCAAGCUUGACUGUGAGACCUACAAGUCGAACAGGGAGGAAACUCGGCUUUAGUGAUCCGACGGUUCUGCGUGGAAGGGCCGUCGCUCAACGGAUAAAAGUUACUCUAAGGAUAACAGGCUGAUCUCCCCCAAGAGUUCACAUCGACGGGGAGGUUUGGCACCUCGAUGUCGGCUCAUCGCAACCUGGGGCUGAAGUCGGUCCCAAGGGUUGGGCUGUUCGCCCAUUAAAGCGGUACGCGAGCUGGGUUCAGAACGUCGUGAGACAGUUCGGUCCAUAUCCGGUGCAUGCGCAGGAAUAUUGAGAGGAUUUCUCCCUAGUACGAGAGGACCGGGAGGAACGCACCUCUGGUGUACCAGUUAUCGUGCCAACGGUAAACGCUGGGUAGCCAUGUGCGGAGAGGAUAACCGCUGAAAGCAUCUAAGUGGGAAGCCCACCUCAAGAUGAGUAUUCCCAUGGGGUAACCCAGUAAGGUCACGGGAAGAACACCCGUUGAUAGGCUCUACGUGGAAGCGCAGUAAUGUGUGAAGCGGAGGAGUACUAAUAGACCGAGGGCUUGACC
rnacentral:rRNA from 1 species